rnacentral:rRNA from 1 species
CUCGGUUGAUCCUGCCGACGAUGUCCGCUCACGCUAAAGAUUAACACAUGCAAGCUUUGUUGAACCUACUUCAACGGGAAAACAGCGAAUGGCUCAUUACAACAGUUAUAGUGUACAUGACGAAUCCUCUUACUCGGAUAACUCUGGUAACUCUAGAGCUAAUACGUGCAUUAAACGGGCGAUCUUUUAGAGAGUCCGGUGCUUAUUAGGUUCAAACCAACACGGGCAACCGUAUUAUGGUGACUCAGAAUAAUCCAACGGAGCCUAUGUCUUCGGACGAGGCCGCGUCAUUCCAGUUUCUGACCUAUCAGCUUUCGAUUGUGCGGUAUUGGCCCACAAUGGCUUUAACGGGUAACGGGGUUUUGGGGAACGACUCCGGAGAAACAGCAUGAGAUUCGGCUGUUACAUCCAAGGAAGGCAGCAGUGGCGUAAUUACCCAAUGCCGGUUUAUGGCGAGGUAGUGACGGCGAUUAACACUGACCUUGGCUUUUAGCUAGGGUCGGUUUGGAAUGGCCGGGUUCUAAAAAUACCCGGGAGGAUCAAUUGGAGGGCAAGUCUGGUGCCAGCAGCCGCGGUAAUUCCAGCUCCAAUGGCGGAUGUUGAUUCUGCUGCAGUUAAAAAGCUCGUAGUUGAAUUUUGGUCUUUGCGGUCUCCGGGUUUGGGUUGUUGUUCACUCAGCAUUCCGGCCAUGGGGAACGCGGGACUUUUGCGUGGGGAGCUCGUCGAUGGGUCAAACCACCGGCGGGGGAUCCGCGCCUUUUACUGUGAGGAAAUCUGGGUGCUCAAAGCAGGCUUUACGCUUGAAAGCUUCAGCACGGAAUGAUAAGAUACGACUCGGUCGGUCUUGUUGGUUUUUCGAUUGAGUAAUGGUUAACAGGAACAGUUGGGGGUAUUCGUAUUGGCAUGUCAGAGGUGAAAUUCUUGGAUUAUGUCAAGACGAACGACUGCGAAGGCAUUUACCAAGGAUGUUUUCAUUAAUCAAGUACGAAAGUUGGGGGAUCGAAGAUGAUUAGAUACCAUCGUAGUCUCAACCGUAAACGAUGCCGACUGUCAAUCGUCACGCUUUUUUUAUAAGAGGCGUGGCGGCGGGCGAUGAGAAAUCGAAGUCUUUGGGUUCUGGGGGGAGUAUGGUCGCAAGACUGAAACUUAAAGGAAUUGACGGAAGGGCACACCAGAGGUGGAGCUUGCGGCUUAAUUUGACAACACGGGAAAACUUACCAGGUCCGGACUUCAAAAGGAUUGACAGAUUGAAAGCUCUUUCAUGAUCUGAGGGUGGUGGUGCAUGGCC